CCUACGGGUGGCAGCAGUGAGGAAUAUUGGUCAAUGGGCGUAAGCCUGAACCAGCCAAGUCGCGUGAGGGAUGAAGGCUCUAUGGAUCGUAAACCUCUUUUAUAAGGGAAUAAAGUGUGGGACGUGUCCCUUUUUGUAUGUACCUUAUGAAUAAGGAUCGGCUAACUCCGUGCCAGCAGCCGCGGUAAUACGGAGGAUCCGAGCGUUUUCCGGAUUUAUUUGGUUUAAAGGGUGCGUAGGCGGGGCUUUAAGUCAGGGGGGAAAGUGUGUGGCCUAACCAUAGCAUUGCCGUUGAAACUGGGGGCCUUGAGUAGGUUAGAGGAAGGCGGAAUGCGUGGUGUAGCGGUGAAAUGCUUAGAUAUCACGCAGAACCCCGAUUGCGAAGGCAGCCUGCCAAGCCACGACUGACGCUGAUGCACGAAAGCGUGGGGAUCAAACAGGAUUAGAUACCCGAGUAGUC
rnacentral:rRNA from 1 species